ensembl:lncRNA
GACCUCCAGGCUUACAAGACUAAAAUGGGCAUGGAAUGGGCUAGUGCUGUUUUGCAGAUUGGUUUGUGGUUAGGGAGGCAUAAUGUGGACAGAAACCAGGUGAGUGGUUUCCUUUACAUCUCCAACACUGAAUUUGUGUUUUUUCAGGUUGCUUGUUACUGGUGGGAUUCUGUGACACUUCAGAUUGUAGUUUUUGGCCCAUGCACAUUUCAAAUUGCAACUGCAGCUCAUGGUCUUUCUCCAGUUUGUGUCCUAGCUUUACAAGCUCUUCCACCGUGCUCACACAUCCACGCAGCUAACUGGCAAGUACGUACUCUCUCAGCCAGUCCGUCUUCAUAAUCUUCGAAAAGGAAAGAUGACAAAAAAGCAGUCUCAAACUCAGUCCAUGUUGUUAUUGAAGAGCGAGCGUCCUCCCACCAGUCACGUGCUGCGCCGUGAAGUCUGCUGCGGAAGGUUGCCAACAAGUCACUCUCUGCAAGAGGAUGCAAUGCUAAAAAGUCCUGAAAUCGUGUUAGAUACAGCAGAGGAUUGGCAUCAUCAGACUGUCUUCCAAAUGUGGGAAAGGUCAACUUUAAAUGGUCACUUUUUCCUGCAGGAAUAGGAGGACACUCUGGGACAUUUUCUAGUGGUGAUGGGGGUGUGGUAAGUGAGAAACGGGAGGGUGGUUGUACCCCUUUACCUUGGUGAUCAGCCAUGUCUUCAUCUAGCCGUUUGACUUUCUCCAUGUCUGUUAUAAGUUCUUUUAGAUGUGUGGUUAGCUUGAGUGAUGCAAUUACUACAUUCAGUGGAGAGCUGCUCAUGAUACUUUUGAAGGUUCUUUUGUGUAGGUUUUUGAAGGUUCUUUUGUCUCUCUGAAGUUCGACCUGAAGUUGCUCCACCAUGAAACGGACUUCAGAAAUCAAGAUAGACUCCAUUUUUCGUAGCUCAUGUGACAUCAAGGGUCUGAGAGUAAUGCAAUUUCAGUUUUCUGUAUGUAUGUACUGUGCUUGUGGAAGAAUUGACAAUAAAGCAGACUUGACUUGACUUAUAGAAAAGUACAGUAUAUUUUGAUAUGUGCCCUGGGACUGAAUGUUCCUGAAUCAUAUUCACUGGUAUUAACCACUUCAAGGAUUUAAAAAAAAAAAAAAUACAAAAUAACAUGCCUACUGUGGUAUAAUAUCCACAGAAGAAGAAGAAGAAGAAGAAGAAGAAGAAGAAGAAAUAAAAACGUGAUUGUUAUAGUCCCAUGACUACAAAACUGCAGAACAAAAUAAAACAAACACAGAAAAAAAGAAAAAUCAAAUAAUCAUAACAAUAAUAAUAACAAUAAUAAUCAUCAUCAUCAUCAUCAUCAUAAUUACUAUUAUUAUAAAAACAGGAAAACAAACAAACAAAAUACACCACCAAGGUAAUAAUAUCCCCAAAUAAAAACAGAACCAAACAUAAUAAAAACAUAUAAUAAUAAUAAUAAUAAUAAUAAUAAUAAUAAUAGAAUAAAAAAGGAAAACAAACAAACAAACAACAGUAUUAUGUUGAAAGAAAGAAAGAAAGAAGGCCUCAAAACCACAGUACCAAUUUCUCCAGUCAAACAUAAGUAAAAUAUGCUAAUAAUAAUAAAUAAUAAAAAGAAGAAUGAUAAAAGCUAUGGUAAUAUGUAUGAACAUGCCAACAAACAAACAAUCCAAAAAAAUUUUUUUUUGCCUUGCACUUUUUGGUACUUGCAACAGUUUUAAAACAUUGUACUGCACGAUUUCACACUAUAAAAGUAUGAAAUUAACUUUUAUAGUUUUAAUUAAUACAUUUUUAUAUUGUAAUCACAGAUUAUACAGAACAGCCAUAAAAUGCACACACACAAGCUCUAGCAGUAGCUACAUUACCGUGCUGUUAAAAUCCUCUCUGUAAUCUUUUAUAAUCUAUGUGACUUUUGACACGUGGAAAUCAAUGACCUGUCCUGGGUUUAAUUAAACUGUUUGUACGGCAGUAGCACAUCUAUGUGUCCUGCUCACGGUAAUCGGGCGACAUCCAAACAGAAGCCACGACCACGUCAGCUGGAUUUACAACGGAUCCAUAUUGAUGCUAUGGUAAAACGUCAAAGCUUGAUUACUUGACUUCAGGUAGAUAAAAAAACAGACGAAAACUGUUUGAUUCCAGAAUCAAUAUCUAAGCUGAACCAAAAUCUAUUACAAUUAAAAAAAAAAGUUUUUUGCUCCACUAGCUCAACUUGCUGGUGCUUAGAUGCUAAGCAAUUAGAAAAACUGAAAUAAUAAAAAAAAAUCAACGCCACGUCCAUGACAGCAAAACAAAAAUGUGCUGGGUGAUUGGUAUGCUGGUUCGUUAUAAAACAUGACUUCUACAAUCAGUUUUCUUUUAUUAUUUUCUAUAAAACAAGGCACGCAAACCUUGAAGGCUGGCCUCCAAUGUGCGUGAAAUUGGUUGGGGUUUUUUAUUUUUUUAUUCUGAAGCAAUUAAUUUCUCCGUUCUUCAGGGGAUGUUAUAGGAGAAUACCCAAAUAAACACAACUGAACAAACACAAAGGCAAAGAGAGGGAGGAAUUUCAUAAAUGAACUUUCCAAAUAAGCAGAAACCAUAUUUUGCAAAAGUACAGUAAAUGUCUAUUUUUUAAGAUCACUACUGUAAUGCCUUCUGACAUAUAUAUUUAUUUCCCAUUAUUUUUAAUUGUAAUUGUAAUUAUUACUAUUACUGCUACUACUACUACUACUACUACUAAUAACAAUGUAAUGAAUCUAAUGACUGAA